GCGCCGGUAGCUCAGUUGGCCGAGCAGUGGGACGGUACCCCUCGGGGCCAAGUUCCCGGGUUCAAAUCCCGGCCGACGCU